rnacentral:tRNA from 1 species
GACAAGGUGGCUGAUAGGUUAAGGUGAUGGGCUGCUAGUUUGUUGUUAUUUCUUUGUAUGGGUUCAAAUCCCAUCCUUACUG